UGGGGAUUCGCCAAGCGGUAAGGCAUAUGACUCUGACUCAUACAUGCAUAGGUUCGAAUCCUAUAUCCCCAGCCA
rnacentral:tRNA from 1 species